rnacentral:rRNA from 1 species
UGAUGCAGCAACGCCNNGUGAGGGACGACGGCCUUCGGGUUGUAAACCUCUUUUAGCAAGGAAGAAGCGAAAGUGACGGUACUUGCAGAAAAAGCGCCGGCUAACUACGUGCCAGCAGCCGCGGUAAUACGUAGGGCGCAAGCGUUAUCCGGAAUUAUUGGGCGUAAAGAGCUCGUAGGCGGUUUGUCGCGUCUGCUGUGAAAACCCGAGGCUCAACCUCGGGCCUGCAGUGGGUACGGGCAGACUAGAGUGCGGUAGGGGAGAUUGGAACUCCUGGUGUAGCGGUGGAAUGCGCAGAUAUCAGGAAGAACACCGAUGGCGAAGGCAGAUCUCUGGGCCGUAACUGACGCUGAGGAGCGAAAGGGUGGGGAGCAAACAGGCUUAGAUACCCUGGUAGUCCACCCCGUAAACGUUGGGAACUAGUUGUGGGGUCCAUUCCACGGAUUCCGUGACGCAGCUAACGCAUUAAGUUCCCCGCCUGGGGAGUACGGCCGCAAGGCUAAAACUCAAAGGAAUUGACGGGGACCCGCACAAGCGGCGGAGCAUGCGGAUUAAUUCGAUGCAACGCGAAGAACCUUACCAAGGCUUGACAUAUAGAGGAAACGUCUGGAAACAGUCGCCCCGCAAGGUCUCUAUACAGGUGGUGCAUGGUUGUCGUCAGCUCGUGUCGUGAGAUGUUGGGUUAAGUCCCGCAACGAGCGCAACCCUCGUUCUAUGUUGCCAGCACGUAAUGGUGGGAACUCAUGGGAUACUGCCGGGGUCAACUCGGAGGAAGGUGGGGAUGACGUCAAAUCAUCAUGCCCCUUAUGUCUUGGGCUUCACGCAUGCUACAAUGGCCGG